rnacentral:rRNA from 1 species
GACGAACGCUGGCGGCGUGCCUAAUACAUGCAAGUCGAACGAACUCUGGUAUUGAUUGGUGCUUGCAUCAUGAUUUACAUUUGAGUGAGUGGCGAACUGGUGAGUAACACGUGGAUAACCUGCCCAGAAGAAGGGGAUAACACCUGGAAACAGAUGCUAAUACCGUAUAACAACGAAAACCACAUGGUUUUCGUUUGAAAGAUGGCCUUUGUGCUAUCGCUUUUGGAUGGAUCCGCGGCGCAUUAGCUAGUUGGUGAGAUAAAGGCUCAC